CAGGCCUUCACCCGCCGUUUCCCUGCGAUCCCACAGAAUCUAAGGAGUUCAGUAAAUGCCAAGGGUUUUAGGAGCAUUUGUCGGUGUGACUCUUCAGAUGCUUGCCCCAAGUCUUCGUUUCUUAGUUAAAGGCCCAAUAUUCUGUCAUAUCUGCCUGCCAGACCACUCCUGCUUCUCUGAUGCAAGUUACACCUGCAUCUUGCAUACCAAGUGAGGCUGUCCAUCACCUAACUCCACCUCACCAGGCACACAGGUUCGGCAUGUGAUUUGGCCUCAUAGUGCUUGACCCAGCACCAAUCAGAGAGCUUUGUCAGAGAUGGAUAUGCGUGCAGGGACUCUUUCUAAGAUUAUGGAUGCUUAUAGCCUCACAUAAGUUCAGAACUGUCAGGGCCAUCUUGGCUUUAAUUCGAGAAGAGCUUGACUGAGACAAGAGAAAGGCGAAACAAAUGAUUGCGACCAAGGGAAACAAGAUGUCCUGGUGAUAUAUUUUGAACUGUGAAUCACCCCAAUCUGAAACAUUGCUUUGGACAUCAUGAGUAAAUAAAUCCUGACUUAAUGUAUACAAAUGGAAACACGGCGUCUCCUAUUUCAUUACUCUGUAAGCUUGAGGAAAUUCCCUUCACUCGGCACCCUUCAAAGUCCGCAACUUCAUUGGAGCCUAAGCUUCAGAAGGAUGGUCUGGCUGAGCACUAUAUCCAAAGUGCCUCACACACUGCCUGGCAGAAGAAACUUCUCUAUACAUACAGGAAUUUGACAACAGUUUGUGCCACUUAUGGAUUUAAAGAACUGGCACCUUGAAUGGGAUUCUGAAUAGAAUUCGUACAGAUGGAAUGUAAAUAUCACCCUGAACUGAAUUGGCCCUCAUCCUGUCCAGCCAAUCUGGAAAUGUCUGGUUUGUCUCCUGGGAGCACUCCCCAAAGAACCUUCUACACACAGUUCGCCAAUUCAAAGUCUGUUUUCAGGGAAUCCAAUUCAAGACAGGGAUAGUUGGAAGACACAACCGUUCCAUGGACUUUGAUGUUCUUGAUAUUCAUUCUUGGUAUUGGCAUUAUGAGUUGUGACACUAGGAGGAGUCUCCAAGUGACUUUGAAAUGAGAAGACAGGAACAAAGAGGUGUCAUACAUCCCUCACAGAUGGUCAGAAGUAUCUAAAGAGUUUUUGCCAAAGAGAUAGGGUCCUGAAUGGGCAGCAGGGUUAAGAGAAAAAUGUGUAGUUAUUAAUGUUAAUGAGACAUCCUUUGCUACAAGAUGAUGGUGAGGUCUCAAGGAGAUCUAGGUUAUAUUUAUAAGGGAUCACUCCAAUUACUACAUGUCUGUCUUUUCUAAAAUUAGACUUUAUUGUGCUCUAUUAAAAUAGCUUUAUCUUUAGAAGAGAGUUUCUCAAAAUGUGAUUUGGGGACCACCUGCAUCAGGAACACCUGAGAAUUUGUUAAAGUUGCAGAUUCUAGAGCCCCAUCUCAUGCUUACUGAACCAGAAUCUCUGGGAACCUGCAUGUUUAUUUAACAAGUUUUUCAAAGCUUGCAUGUUUAGCCAGCUUUUAAAGUAAAAGUUUUUCAACUGCUUGAGUUGGUAAAGGAUUUCUUUUGCAGAUGAUGAAAAUCUUCUGGAAUUGGAUAGAGGUGAUGGCUUCACAACAUUGUGAAUAUAUUAAAAACCACUGAAAUGA